GUCCUAAGAAUGACUGCAGUGAAAUUGUGACUUCUGGUGAGUUUUUUUAAAAUGUGCUGUUUCUGUCUUAAUGUGUGUUACAGUGUUCAUAAGUAAAGCCAUCGAAUAAUAAUAAUAACGAUAACAACAACUACUACUACUACUUUAUUCUUAUACCCUGCCAUCAACGGGAUGGGGUGGCUUACAUAUGGGACAAAAUGCCCAUAGACACAAAUGCAAACAAUCCAUCAAAGCAAAAAGCAUAAGUUAACAUAAAAACAUCAUUAAAAAUAACAACAAUUAAUGUGGAAUCAUAGUGCUAUAAUUCGAUAGUAUGAAUGGACCCCAGGAUUUACAGGGGGAUCUAUGAGCCCCAUUAAGGUUGCUGAUUUGCUUGCAUACUUCUAUCCUAUCUUUUUCACAACCAGAGGUCAAAUGUUCGUCAGCCUUACAUUACGGGAAAGAUUCUGACUAGGUAAGCAAUUCAUCAAUAGAAGAAAUUGACUGACUUGAAGGGAGCAUUUGGAAUUCUCAUUCACUUUCGAGGCAAAGAUUGAAGGUGGUUAUGUCAGCAGCGCUAUAAAUGUGAGCUACCACAUUUUAGGGCAGGUGACUGAUCGCCCUAUUACUCUAGGCUAGGAAGGAAAAUUGACAUCUUGAUUUUCUCAGCUAGUAAAGGACUUGGUAGAGAUUUAAUUAGCCUUUCGCAAAAAGAAUGCUUCAUGUCUUGUCCCAAUUAAUAGCUUGGUGUUAAGGUUGCCAACAUCUGGAGUUAAUUAAAGGAUGCUCUUUCAUUUUUAAUGGCUUUGUAAAAGGGGCCAAUUCAACAGGCUCAUUUUUCGCCAUGAUUACACCACCAAAUGGGAGAAGGUGCAGUGCUGAAAUUCUCUCGGUAAUUGAAAGAACACGGGUCCAUUGCAAUGAGAAGUUGGUAGCUAAUGCCCAUGCCACCUCACAUAGGUAUGAACUCUCUGCAAUGCUAGUCAUUUGGGCACUGAAGGAAAAUUUCAUGGAGAAGGCAAGAAUUCGUAUUUGGGGGAGUAACACCGCCAUCCCACCACCUGUAACCACAUGCCUGGUAGCAGACCGUUAUAAUAGUUUUGAUGACUUGCUCACAUCCAGUGAUUUAUAG
rnacentral:lncRNA from 1 species